rnacentral:rRNA from 1 species
GUCUACGGUCAUGCCACCCUGAACAAGUCCAAUCUCAUCUGAUCUCGGAAGCUAGUCAGGGUUGGGCCUGGUUUGUACUUGGAUGGGAGACUGCCUAGGAAGACCAGGUGCUGUAGGUG